GGGGGAGUUAUAAGAUCUGCUAAAUCUUUAAUCUGAAAAUAACUACCAGCUCCC
rnacentral:tRNA from 1 species